AAGUCGUAACAAGGUUUCCGUAGGUGAACCUGCGGUUGGAUUAUCAUGUUAAUACUUGUUUACCAAUAUCAACCAAUUGUGAACUGUAACGUCCCUAUUAUACUCGAAAGGGUAUAGUAGACAAUACCAAUCUACUAGUAGUCACUAGUCGUCUUGCGAUACUUCGGUGUCACGAGAUUGAUUAUGUGAUGAAAGUUAUUCACCAAUUUUAACCCUAUAACUAUUUGAUUGUCUAAUCUUCAUAACCUUUUGAAACCUUUUUGGUUUCUCAAGAUUUACGAAAUAUUGAACAACUCUUAGCAAUGGAUAUCUUGGGUCAU
rnacentral:misc_RNA from 1 species